rnacentral:rRNA from 1 species
GUGCCAGCAGCCGCGGUAAGACGGGGGAGGCAAGCGUUGUCCGGAAUUAUUGGGCGUAAAGAGCGCGUAGGUGGUUUAUAAAGUCAUUUGUGAAAACUUUAGGCUUAACUUAAAGACUGCAAGUGAUACUGAUAAACUUGAGUACAGUAGAGGAAAGUGGAAUUCCUGGUGUAGCGGUGAAAUGCGCAGAUAUCAGGAAGAACACCAGUGGCGAAGGCGGCUUUCUGGGCUGUUACUGACACUGAGGCGCGAAAGCUAGGGGAGCGAACAGGAUUAGAUACCCUGGUAGUCCUAGCUGUAAACGAUGGAUACUAGGUGUGGGAAGUUAUCGACGCUUUCCGUGCCGAAGCUAACGCAUUAAGUAUCCCGCCUGGGGAGUACGGCCGCAAGGCUAAA